rnacentral:rRNA from 1 species
AUUGAACGCUGGCGGCGUGCCUAACACAUGCAAGUCGAGCGGUAACAGGUGUAGCAAUACAUGCUGACGAGCGGCGAACGGGUGAGUAAUGCUUCGGAAUCUACCCAAUGGUGGGGAAUAACCAGCCGAAAGGUUGGCUAAUACCGCAUACGUCCCACGGGAGAAAGCAGGGGAUCGCAAGACCUUGCGCCAAUGGAUGAGCCGAAGUCGGAUUAGCUAGUUGGAGGGUAACGGCCUACCAAGGCGACGAUCCGUAGCUGGUCUGAGAGGACGACCAGCCACACUGGGACUGAGACACGGCCCAGAUUCCUACGGGAGGCAGCAGUGGGGAAUAUUGGACAAUGGGGGAAACCCUGAUCCAGCGACGCCGCGUGUGUGAAGAAGG